AUUGAACGCUGGCGGCAUGCCUUACACAUGCAAGUCGAACGGUAACGGGCCUUCGGGUGCCGACGAGUGGCGAACGGGUGCGUAGUACAUCGGAACGUGCCCGAUCGUGGGGGAUAACGAGGCGAAAGCUUUGCUAAUACCGCAUACGAUCUACGGAUGACAGCAGGGGACCGCAAGGCCUUGCGCGGACGGAGCGGCCGAUGGCAGAUUAGGUAGUUGGUGGGAUAAAAGCUUACCAAGCCGACGAUCUGUAGCUGGUCUGAGAGGAUGAUCAGCCACACUGGAACUGAGACACGGCCCAGACUCCUACGGGAGGCAGCAGUGGGGAAUUUUGGACAAUGGGCGCAAGCCUGAUCCAGCCAUGCCGCGUGCAGGAUGAAGGCCUUCGGGUUGUAAACUGCUUUUGUACGGAACGAAAAGCCUUCUUUUAAUACAGGGGGGUCAUGACGGUACCGUAAGAAUAAGCACCGGCUAACUACGUG
rnacentral:rRNA from 1 species